UCCAUGGUUUGUAACCACAUUUUUGCACCAUUGCGGCCCCACGAAACAGUGGAUGCGUGAUUUUUUGGUGCAGGCAGUAGCCAUGGACAUGUGAUGUGAUGUGAUGUGAUGGUGAAUUUGGGGUGACCCAAUGCAAAAAUCCUGAGGAUCCAUGGGCUUUUACCACCCCCCUCCCAGGCAGCCUCCUUUAUCGCUAGCGUCCCUUAUCUCCCUCCCCAUCGCUUCCCGAUCAGCUGCUAAGCGGCUUUGUUUCAACACCCCCUUCCCUCUUUC